UGCCCAUGAAGCUGAUUCAGUUCCCUGGA
rnacentral:piRNA from 1 species